rnacentral:rRNA from 1 species
CGUGAGAAUCUACCUCCGAGAUGGGGACAACCGUUGGAAACGACGGCUAAUCCCCAAUAAGCCGAAAGGUGAAAGGGUUUCCGCUCGCAGAGGAGCUCGCGUCCGAUUAGUUAGUUGGUGGGGUAAGAGCCUACCAAGGCAGCGAUCGGUAGCUGGUCUGAGAGGAUGAGCAGCCACACUGGGACUGAGACACGGCCCAGACUCCUACGGGAGGCAGCAGUGGGGAAUUUUCCGCAAUGGGCGCAAGCCUGACGGAGCAACGCCGCGUGUGGGAAGAAGGCUCUUGGGCUGUCAACCACUUUUCUCAGGGAAGAAGUCCUGACGGUACCUGAGGAAUCAGCCUCGGCUAACUCCGUGCCAGCAGCCGCGGUAAUACGGAGGAGGCAAGCGUUAUCCGGAAUUAUUGGGCGUAAAGCGUCCGCAGGGGGCACUUCAAGUCUGCUGUCAAAGGUCGGAGCUUAACUCCGGUUCGGCAGUGGAAACUGGAGCGCUAGAGGGCGACAGGGGUAGAGGGAAUUCCCAGUGUAGCGGUGAAAUGCGUAGAGAUUGGGAAGAACACCGGUGGCGAAAAGCGCUCUACUGGGUCGCACCUGACCCUCAGGGACGAAAGCUAAGGUAGCGAAAGGGAUUAGAUACCCCUGUAGUCUUAGCCGUAAACGAUGGAUACUAGGCGUGGUUUGUAUCGACCCAAGCCGUGCCGAAGCUCACGCGUUAAGUAUCCCGCCUGGGGAGUACGCACGCAAGUGUGAAACUCAAAGGAAUUGACGGGGGCCCGCACAAGCGGUGGAGGAUGUGGUUU